AACGAACGCUGGCGGCGUGCUUAACACAUGCAAGUCGAACGGGUUUAUUGGAUGUAGCAAUACAUUCAAUAGAUUAGUGGCGCACGGGUGAGUAACACGUAGGCAACCUACCCUUCAGUGGGGGACAACAGAGGGAAACUUCUGCUAAUACCGCGUACGACCUACGGGUGAAAGCAGGGGAUCUUCGGACCUUGCGCGAUUGAAUGAGCCGAUGCCCGAUUAGCUAGUUGGCGGGGUAAGAGCCCACCAAGGCGACGAUGGCUAGGGGGUCUGAGAGGAUGGUCCCCCACACUGGUACUGAGACACGGACCAGACUCCUACGGGAGGCAGCAGUGAGGAAUAUUGGUCAAUGGGCGGAAGCCUGAACCAGCCAUGCCGCGUGCAGGAUGACGGCCCUACG
rnacentral:rRNA from 1 species